AGAGGUGGGUCAGAGUGCGGAUCAGUUGGGCUCAGGCACGGUACGCAUGUAGUGUGAUUGCUAACCACGUCAGAGUGCCGAACGUCUGAUCAGGCUACGUGCAGCAUGAUUGCGUGACCAUUUCUGAGUGUCUAAAGUGAUAGAUCUGUAUAUAUUGUGAAAGGGCCAUGUGUUACCAUGUCCCAAGCGACUAAAAAUAAUAAACCUCAAAGUUAACAAAAUGAUGCACUCCACUGUGCUGUGUGAGAGAACUUCUCUGCUGUCUUCAUGUGCGGAAACUUCCUAUUUCCCACUUAUGAAGUCGUGAGCGCUUCAUUUGAGCGCUCCUGCAGUCUUAGGCCCAUCCCAAAUGCUCUCAUUGGUUAAGACUCGUGAUGACACCCAUCCCAAGCCAGUACUGAUCAAUCCCACCCCUCCUGUGACCUAUGGUUUGUUUGUGUAUAUUCAGAGCCAGUGAGCAAUAGACUUUUAUAAUGAAAAGAAAAAAAAAAACUGAGAUACAUUACCUCUGUUGAUCAAUUAACGCGUUAUCUUGCCCAGCCCGUGUGUGUAUAUAUGUAUACGUGUAUGUGUAUAUAUAUUGUUUUGUCAGAUUACAAACAAGCUUUACCUGUGUGUUGUCAGCAGAUUAGCUGCAACUAAUUAGCAUUGGCUCUGCUUGUUUGUAACCUUACGCAAGUACUCACUGCUCUUGUUGGACUGUGUUGGUCAUUAUGGAAAUGAUAUGUUGUGUCUUUGUUUUUUAAUUUGCGUUUUGUCAGUAUAUCACCCACAGAACUUUCCACUCCCAUCAGCGCUUUUUCUGAAUUGGGCUCACUAAUUUGCCUUUAGUAAAUCUGGCCCUUAAAAUUAAGGCAACAUAAGUGAUGAAAAAUGUCCUUAAGAAAAAUAGAGAAAAAUUAUAAAUUUUAUUGCAUCUGUCCAUUUUCAGUGAAAAUAUUAUUUAUUUUGUCUUGUUCCUUCAGGUGAAUAAUCUUUGCUGCUGUUUACCUUGUGGCAACAGUGGAGGUUGCAGAUUUAAAGAUGUAUGGUGUAUGAAUGACCUGUAUGACUCUUUUAGUUGUAUCUGUGGAACAAGCAUACCAUUGAUCAUGCCACUUCUAACAAGAUAUACAAGAUGAGCAGAUUGUGGGCAAUGAGAUGAGGACAAGGUCUUGUGGUAUUCCCUAAAGACUGCUACUCUACUACAGAUACUGAUCUCUGCGCUCCUGCUUAGUAAAAUAGGAAUAUAAAUUAAUCAAUUUAAAGAUUUUCUUUUGACAAAUUGUAUAUUAAAAAUUAAUAUUUGCUGCAAUUGAUUUUUGAAAAUAUUUUAUGGUUUGUGUAAUGUAAAUGUCACUGUUAAAUGAAUAAAAGAAUUUCACUGAGGUGAUCA
ensembl:lncRNA